rnacentral:rRNA from 1 species
AGCGGCGAGCGAAACGGGAAGAGCCCAAACCAACAAGCUUGCUUGUUGGGGUUGUAGGACACUCUAUACGGAGUUACAAAGGACGACAUUAGACGAAUCAUCUGGAAAGAUGAAUCAAAGAAGGUAACAAUCCUGUAGUCGAAAAUGUUGUCUCUCUUGAGUGGAUCCUGAGUACGACGGAGCACGUGAAAUUCCGUCGGAAUCUGGGAGGACCAUCUCCUAAGGCUAAAUACUCUCUAGUGACCGAUAGUGAAC